rnacentral:ncRNA from 1 species
CUGACAGGUACGCAUGGGUCGACGUUCGUGCAACGAGCCCGUUCCCGCUGCUUCAAUAAUGGGCAGAAGGAUGCGUUAUUGUCAG